rnacentral:lncRNA from 1 species
GCUACAGGCGGAGUCUCGCGCUUUAGCUAGUUUUGGAGGAAAAAAAAAAAAAAGCCCCAAACCUUGCGCCCGCCGCGUUUUUACGAAUCCCCUGCGGUACCAGCCCCCGCGCCCGCCCCGCCCGCCGCGCACUUCCUCCGCCCACCUCCCGCUUCUUCCCCAUUGGCUUGCGCGAGCAGUUUGAAUUUUUUUCUUUUUUGGAUGCUUGUUUUCUUGUAAAAAAUACAGUACCCCCGAUCGUGUGGCCAAACCUACUUCGGUGGCCGGUGGUGGGGUGAUUUAGCUGGUUUUGUAGAGGCGGGAGGGAGGUGGGUGGGCGGGGCUUCUGUUCCAAAAUUUUCCCCUUAAGUGCCUUUGACAGUGUGCAGGCGGGUGGGGGAGCGUGGGGCCGCGGUAAACAAACAGGAGAAGCUUCGGCGGGGGCCGAGAUGUAGUAUAAACGUUAAUGGAUGUCCAGGGCGCGCCGAUGCACCGGCGGCUGGCCAGAGGUACUAGGGAGGCGCUGGCAGGAGCCCUGGCGAAGAUGCACCUUCCCCAGCCUGGAAAGAAAAAUCUGUGCGGCAGAGGAAUUCUGAGCGUGACGGUGCAGGAGAGAGCUGCCGGGGAUCGCGUAACACGACGUUCUCUUCAGUAAAAGCGUGGAUCUGGGCUUCAAGAGGCUCGGGUUCUAGUUUUGUCCGUUGUUACCUUGUUGUGUGACAUGCCUCUUGACUCUCCGGGACUCAAGUCUCUCAUUUGUCAAACAAGGAGCACAAAUUCCCCAGCAGGUCACAAAGCACAGUCAGGACGAGGGAGAGCCAGUGGUAUCUGGGUACCUUUUCUUUGGGAUUAGUCAACUUCCCCUUAUGUCAAAGCAUAUUAUCACUUUGGACAUCAUCUAAAGUGGCCUCAUUCCCAGACCUGGGAAAAUGGAGAGGACAGCCAUGAGGGAGAACCAAACAGAGACCAGAGGGCUUUGGACUGCGCUGGCACAAGCAUGUACCUGUGACUGCCUGAUGGAGGUCACCAAUUUCAGAGUGAUCUGCUAUUUUAUACAGCACGUGUCUUCUCUCCUUUCCUUUUAACUUGGAGUAAACUGAUGUAAAAAGACCAAAGGCCCCAGCCUAUCCUGCUGGGGUGUCACCUCAAAGAUGGAAUCAACCUCACUCCCGAAAGAAACAACCAGUGCAGUCCUUCCUGGUCUGCCACUGCACCCAAUGCCAAUGCUUUGCUGAAUUGUAAUUCGUCCAGGCAGGAUUAUUGGGCAUCCAUUCUUGUGUCCGGCUGUGUGCUUAGGGCUGGGAGUAUGCCUCGUAGAUGGUCUCUCUUUUCCAUUCUUUCUUCUCUACAGUCUAUUUCCAUAUAGAAUUAGAGUGAUAGUUUAAAUAUGUAGAUCAAGUUACUUACCUGCUCAAAAUCCUCCAGCGGCUUUUUAAAAUAGUAGGAUAACAUCCAAACCCCAUCACCUUCUAGUAUCGGGUGCUGCAGGGCUGACCUGAGCCUGCUUCUCUGGCCUCACUCUGCCCUUUUUUGUUGUUGCGGACACCACUGUGAUUCCUAAAUCAGGGCCUUUUUUGGAGUGGUGGUGGGAGGGUCCUCAGGCACGUUGAGCUGAAUUGACAAUUCUCAGGUCAAGGCACAUUAUCAUCACAAGU